rnacentral:rRNA from 1 species
GAUGAACGCUGGCGGCGUGCCUAAUACAUGCAAGUCGAGCGAACGGACGAGAAGCUUGCUUCUCUGAUGUUAGCGGCGGACGGGCGAGUAACACGUGGAUAACCUACCUAUAAGACUGGGAUAACUUCGGGAAACCGGAGCUAAUACCGGAUAAUAUUUUGAACCGCAUGGUUCAAAAGUGAAAGACGGUCUUGCUGUCACUUAUAGAUGGAUCCGCGCUGCAUUAGCUAGUUGGUAAGGUAACGGCUUACCAAGGCAACGAUGCAUAGCCGACCUGAGAGGGUGAUCGGCCACACUGGAACUGAGACACGGUCCCGACUCCUACGGGAGGCAGCAGUAGGGAAUCUUCCGCAAUGGGCGAAAGCCUGACGGAGCAACGCCGCGUGAGUGAUGAAGGUCUUCGGAUCGUAAAACUCUGUUAUUAGGGAAGAACAUAUGUGUAAGUAACUGUGCACAUCUUGACGGUACCUAAUCAGAAAGCCACGGCUAACUACGUG